rnacentral:tRNA from 1 species
GCCUGGGUGGCUCAGUCGGUUAAGCGUCCGACUUUGGCUCAGGUCACGAUCUCACGGUUCGUGGGUUCAAGCCCCGCGUCGGGCU